AACUUUGUGCAAAGGCAAUAUCGUAACCAACGAGAUUAAUCCGAGGUGCGAUUAUUGUUAAUUGAACUUUCAACGAGGCUUCCGCUGGCUUGAUAGAUUAAUGCCGCUAGAUACGGUCCAAAUGGCCACCCAUAAACUUUGGAGAUAGCCACCAAU